CCCCUCCUUCCGAGGGAAGAAGCAGACUGCAGCGAGACAGUGUGUGGGGCCUGACCAGCAGACUGAAGCACACCAGUGGGAAGAGGCUGAGACCUGCAGCCACUCAGCUCUCUCUCAGCUCACCACAGUGGGCGUGUGGCUGGGCAGUGCCAGCUAGAUGGCAGGCCUCUUUGCCAACACUCAGCCUGGAAACAGGUCCCUGCCAGGCGCUGUGAGCAGGCCCACGCUUCACUGGCCCGGCUGUCUGGGGAGAGCAAGCCCGGGCCCUGCUGCAGCUGGGAACCGAGACAGGCCGGGUGGGGUCCCAGGACCCAG
rnacentral:lncRNA from 1 species